UCCAAAAAGUCCACUGAAAAAAUCUCAC
rnacentral:sRNA from 1 species